rnacentral:rRNA from 1 species
GACGUAGGGCGCGAGCGUUGUCCGGAUUUAUUGGGCGUAAAGAGCUCGUAGGCGGCUCGUUGCGUCGGCUGUGAAAACCCGCAGCUCAACUGUGGGCUUGCAGCUGAUACGGGCGGGCUGGGAUUCGGUAGGGGAGACUGGAAUUCCUGGUGUAGCGGUGAAAUGCGCAGAUAUCAGGAGGAACACCAAUGGCGAAAGCAGGUAACUGGACUAUUACUGACACUCAGCUGCGAAAGCUAGGGGAGCAAACAGG